CGCCGCUCCUGGGGACAUCCACACUGCUGUUUUGUCCCCACAAAGCCAGACCCCAGACCCCAGCUGCCAUCCCCGGGGGCCCCUUCCCUAGACCUGCCCCUGGUGCUCCAAGCAGCCCACCUUGCUGAUGGAGCUGUAGUAGGGGUGCUUCUCGUCCAUGGGGGGCGGCGGGAUGUCGAAGGAACGCCUCCAGAUCUUCACCUGCUCCUCGCCGUGCUUGGCGGCUGUCUCUGCCUUGUUGAGGCCUGUGAGGCCCCCGUAGUGCCUCUCGUUGAGGCGCCAGGUGCGCACCACGGGCAGCCACAUCUGGUCUGUGCCGUCCAGGAUGGUCCAGAGGGUGCGGAUGGCUCGCUUCAGCACCGACGUGUAGCAGAUGUCAAACUCCAUCUUGGCGUCCCUGAUGGCCUCGGCGCCCUUCUUGGCCUCCUGGGCCCCCUUCUCACUCAGCUCUGCAUCGAACCAGCCACAGAAGCGGUUCUCCUGGUUCCAGGUGCUCUCACCGUGCCGAACCAUCACGAGGCGGUGGGUGG
rnacentral:lncRNA from 1 species